rnacentral:rRNA from 1 species
GAUGAACGCUAGCGGCAGGCUUAACACAUGCAAGUCGAGGGGUAGAGGCUUUCGGGCCUUGAGACCGGCGCACGGGUGCGUAACGCGUAUGCAAUCUGCCUUGUACUGGGGGAUAGCCCAGAGAAAUUUGGAUUAAUACCCCAUAGUAUUUUCGGUUGGCAUCAACUGAUUAUUAAAGUUUUUCGGUACAAGAUGAGCAUGCGUCCCAUUAGCUAGUUGGUAUGGUAACGGCAUACCAAGGCUACGAUGGGUAGGGGUCCUGAGAGGGAGAUCCCCCACACUGGUACUGAGACACGGACCAGACUCCUACGGGAGGCAGCAGUGAGGAAUAUUGGUCAAUGGUCGCAAGACUGAACCAGCCAUGCCGCGUGCAGGAUGAAGCAUCUAUGGUGUGUAAACUGCUUUUGUACGGGAAGAAACACUCCUACGUGUAGGGGCUUGACGGUACCGUAAGAAUAAGGAUCGGCUAACUCCGUGCCAGCAGCCGCCGUAAGAC